rnacentral:rRNA from 1 species
GCCCGCACAAGCGGUGGAGCAUGUGGUUUAAUUCGAAGCAACGCGAAGAACCUUACCAGGUCUUGACAUCCUCUGACCCCCUCAGAGAUAGGGCUUUCCCUUCGGGGGCAGAGAGACAGGUGGUGCAUGGUUGUCGUCAGCUCGUGUUGUGAAAUGUUGGGUUAAGUCCCGCAACGAGCGC